GACGUAGGUGGCGAACGUUAUCCGGAAUCAUUGGGCGUAAAGGGUGCGUAGAUGGCUUGAUAAGUUAGCAGUGGUAAAUCGAGGCUCAACCUCGUGGAAGCUGGUAAUACUGUCAGGCUCGAGUGCAGGAGAGGUUAACGGAACUCCAUGUGGAGCGGUAAAAUGCGUAGAUAUAUGGAAGAACACCAAUAACGGCGAAGGCAGUUAACUAUUCUGUUACUGACAUUGAGGCACGAAAGCGUGGGGAGCAAAACGG
rnacentral:rRNA from 1 species